UUACGGCCAUAUAACGCUGAAAAACCGGUUCCCGUACGAUUGCCAAAGUUAAACAAUGUCGAGCCUCGUCAGUACCUAGAUGGGUGAUCGUCUGGGAAUAACAGGGUCUGUA